GCGUCCUACGGGGGGCAGCAGUGGGGAAUAUUGCACAAUGGGGGAAACCCUGAUGCAGCAACGCCGCGUGAAGGAAGACGGUUUUCGGAUUGUAAACUUCUGUUCUUAGUGAAGAAGAAUGACGGUAGCUAAGGAGCAAGCCACGGCUAACUACGUGCCAGCAGCCGCGGUAAUACGUAGGUGGCAAGCGUUGUCCGGACUUACUGGGUGUAAAGGGAGGGCAGGCGGGAAGGCCAGUCAGCUGUG
rnacentral:rRNA from 1 species